rnacentral:pre_miRNA from 1 species
AGUGGGAUAACUGGGUCAAAUGGUGAUUCCAUUCCAAGUUUUCUGAGGAAUCUCCAUAUUGCUUUCCAGAUGGUUGCACCAACUUGAAGUCCCACCAGCAAU